GCGCGCGUAGGUGGUUAAUUAAGUCAAAUGUGAAAUCCCCGAGCUUAACUUGGGAAUUGCAUUCGAUACUGGUUAGCUAGAGUAUGGGAGAGGAUGGUAGAAUUCCAGGUGUAGCGGUGAAAUGCGUAGAGAUCUGGAGGAAUACCGAUGGCGAAGGCAGCCAUCUGGCCUAAUACUGACACUGAGGUGCGAAAGCAUGGGGAGCAAACAGGAUUAGAUACCCUGGUAGUCCAUGCCGUAAACGAUGUCUACUAGCCGUUGGGGGAUUUGAUCCUUUAGUGGCGCAGCUAACGCGAUAAGUAGACCGCCUGGGGAGUACGGUCGCAAGACUAAAACUCAAAUGAAUUGACGGGGGCCCGCACAAGCGGUGGAGCAUGUGGUUUAAUUCGAUGCAACGCGAAGAACCUUACCUGGCCUUGACAUAGUAGAGACUUUCCAGAGAUGGAUUGGUGCCUUCGGGAAUCUACAUACAGGUGCUGCAUGGCUGUCGUCAGCUCGUGUCGUGAGAUGUUGGGUUAAGUCCCGCAACGAGCGCAACCCUUUUCCUUACUUGCCAGCAUUUCGGAUGGGAACUUUAAGGAUACUGCCAGUGACAAACUGGAGGAAGGCGGGGACGACGUCAAGUCAUCAUGGCCCUUACGGCCAGGGCUACACACGUGCUACAAUGGUCGGUACAAAGGGUUGCUACACAGCGAUGUGAUGCUAAUCUCAAAAAGCCGAUCGUAGUCCGGAUCGCAGUCUGCAACUCGACUGCGUGAAGUCGGAAUCGCUAGUAAUCGCGGAUCAGAAUGCCGCGGUGAAUACGUUCCCGGGCCUUGUACACACCGCCCGUCACACCAUGGGA
rnacentral:rRNA from 1 species